CCGGUUGAUCCUGCCGGAGGCUACCGCUAUUGGAGUUCGAUUAAGCCAUGCGAGUCAUUGUAGCAAUACAAGGCAUACGGCUCAGUAACGCGUAGUCAACCUAACCUAUGGACGGGAAUAACCUCGGGAAACUGAGAAUAAUGCCCGAUAGAACAUUAUACCUGGAAUGGUUUAUGUUCCAAAUGAUUUAUCGCCGUAGGAUGGGACUGCGGCCUAUCAGUUUGUUGGUGAGGUAAUGGCCCACCAAGACUAUUACAGGUACGGGCUCUGAGAGGAGUAGCCCGGAGAUGGGUACUGAGACAAGGACCCAGGCCCUAUGGGGCGCAGCAGGCGAGAAAACUUUGCAAUGUGCGAAAGCACGACAAGGUUAGUCCGAGUGAUUUCUGCUAAAGAGAUCUUUUGCUAGUUAUAAAACCACUAGUGAAUAAGGGGUGGGCAAGUUCUGGUGUCAGCCGCCGCGGUAAAACCAGCACCUCAAGUGGUCAGGAUGAUUAUUGGGCCUAAAGCAUCCGUAGCCGGCUCUGUAAGUUUUCGGUUAAAUCUAUGCGCUCAACGUAUGGGCUGCCGAAAAUACUGUAGAGAUAGGGAGUGGGAGAGGUAGACGGUACUCGGUAGGAAGGGGUAAAAUCCUUUGAUCUAUCGAUGACCACCUGUGGCGAAGGCGGUCUACCAGAACACGUUCGACGGUGAGGGAUGAAAGCUGGGGGAGCAACCGGAUUAGAUACCCGGGUAGUCCCAGCUGUAAACGAUGCAGACUCGAUGAUGCAUUGGCAUAUAGCCAGUGCAGUGUCGCAGGGAAGCCGUUAAGUCUGCCGCCUGGGAAGUACGUACGCAAGUAUGAAACUUAAAGGAAUUGGCGGGGGAGCACCACAAGGGGUGAAGCCUGCGGUUCAAUUGGAGUCAACGCCG
rnacentral:rRNA from 1 species